rnacentral:rRNA from 1 species
CCUACGGGAGGCAGCAGUGAGGAAUAUUGGACAAUGGGCGCAAGCCUGAUCCAGCCAUGCCGCGUGCAGGAUGACGGUCCUAUGGAUUGUAAACUGCUUUUGCACAGGAAGAAACAACAUUACGUGUAAUGUCUUGACGGUACUGUGAGAAUAAGGAUCGGCUAACUCCGUGCCAGCAGCCGCGGUAAUACGGAGGAUCCAAGCGUUAUCCGGAAUCAUUGGGUUUAAAGGGUCCGUAGGCGGUUUAGUAAGUCAGUGGUGAAAGCCCAUCGCUCAACGGUGGAACGGCCAUUGAUACUGUUAGACUUGAAUUAUUAGGAAGUAACUAGAAUAUGUAGUGUAGCGGUGAAAUGCUUAGAGAUUACAUGGAAUACCAAUUGCGAAGGCAGGUUACUACUAAUUGAUUGACGCUGAUGGACAAGACGUGGUAGGCGACAGAGUUAGUAUACCUCGUAGUACACGCGUAACCGAAUG